UGGCGGACGGGUGAGUAAUGUCUGGGAAACUGCCUGAUGGAGGGGGAUAACUACUGGAAACGGUAGCUAAUACCGCAUAACGUCGCAAGACCAAAGAGGGGGACCGUUCGGGCCUCUUGCCAUCGGAUGUGCCCAGAUGGGAUUAGCUAGUAGGUGGGGUAACGGCUCACCUAGGCGACGAUCCCUAGCUGGUCUGAGAGGAUGACCAGCCACACUGGAACUGAGACACGGUCCAG
rnacentral:rRNA from 1 species